rnacentral:sRNA from 1 species
GCGAGCCUCUCUGGUCCCGACGCGGGUGGCCCGGGUCUCCUCGACUCCCGAGGAAAGCCCACCGGGCGGGGCGGGAGGUGAAGAGGCUGGGGAAGUCAGAGCUCGUCGCGCAUGGCCGGGAACGCGGCGCCGCCGCCCGCCGGAUCCGCAUGCCCCCAGGACCUGAGGUCCUGGGCCGGGGGCGACCGCGUCUGGGAGGACGGAGAGCAUCCGGCGAAGAAGCUCAAGAGCGGUGGGGACGAGGAGCGGCGCGGCAAGCUGCCCAAGCGGAAGAUCGUGCUGCUCAUGGCCUAUUCGGGCAAGGGCUACCACGGCAUGCAGAGGAAUGUUGGGUCCUCACAAUUCAAAACAAUUGAAGAUGACUUGGUGUCCGCCCUCGUCCGGUCAGGCUGUAUUCCUGAAAAUCAUGGCGAGGACAUGAGGAAAAUGUCCUUCCAGCGCUGCGCCCGGACAGACAAGGUGGGUGGUGGCCUUCUCUGCCCCUCCCCCGCUGCUAUGAGCAGCACGUGACCCACUUUCCAGCUCAGUGUUCUGGCUCGUUAUGCUGCUUCCGAGCACAUAUGAUGUGCAAAUCAAACUAGCCUACGCCUUAUGUAGGUGAGACGUCCAGGAGCCUGGUCAGCUCAGGUAUAGCUGGAUCUAGAUGCUCCCUGCCAGUGGGACUCUGUUCUCUCUGGUCUUUGCUUUCUCUUCUGUUGAUUCUGUUCUCAGGGACACACAUUCCUGCAGGUGGCACAGUGGCGGCCGCAACGUCUGCCUUCGACCCUCCAAUCAGGCUCACUCUGAGGCAGAUGUGAUUGUGUGGCUGCAAAGGCAGAGAGCCA